UUCAUCCGAAUAUUUUCAGGUCAUCUAAGGACUAAUACAAGUCAACUGAAAGUCAACUGAAGGCUUUGAGUGUGAGAAUUGAAUUUCUUUAUCCCAUUCAUGUUCAAACAAGGCUUAUUCAUCAUGUCAAACAUCUACAUUGAAGAAUUUGAAGCCAGUGCAAAAGUUUCCCAAAAUGGAAAGUGACCUGUAAUUUCAAGUUUCCAAAAAUGGCAAGUUUU
rnacentral:lncRNA from 1 species